rfam:Schistosoma margrebowiei strain Zambia genome assembly, scaffold: SMRZ_contig0001435
AUCCGGCUGACGAAACCUAAAUGGGACGAAACGCGUGUCUUGGAU